UGUAUCUUCAUGAUGAUUUCAUAGUUCAACUGAGACUUAAUGAAGCUCAUGUCUUUCGCUCCUAUCUGAUAUAUAUA